rnacentral:rRNA from 1 species
GAUGAACGCUGGCGGCGUGCCUAAUACAUGCAAGUCGAACGCUUCACUUCGGUGAAGAGUGGCGAACGGGUGAGUAAUACAUAAGUAACCUGGCAUCUACAGGGGGAUAACUGAUGGAAACGUCGGCUAAGACCGCAUAGGUGUAGAGAUCGCAUGAACUCUAUAUGAACAGUGCUACGGGACUGGUAGAUGAUGGACUUAUGGCGCAUUAGCUGGUUGGUAGGGUAACGGCCUACCAAGGCGACGAUGCGUAGCCGACCUGAGAGGGUGACCGGCCACACUGGGGCUGAGACACGGCCCAGACUCCGACGGGAGGCAGCAGUAGGGAAUUUUCGGCAAUGGGGGAAACCCUGACCGAGCAACGCCGCGUGAAGGAAAGAGUAAUUCGUUAUGUAAACUUCUGUCAUAGAGGAGGAACGGUGGAUAUAGGGAAUGAUAUCCAAGUGACGGUACUCUAUAAGAAAGCCACGGCUAACUACGUGCCAGCAGCCGCCGUAA